UACGGAGGGUGCAAGCGUUAUCCGGAUUCACUGGGUUUAAAGGGUGCGUAGGUGGCUUUGUAAGUCAGUGGUGAAAGCCCGGAGCUCAACUCCGGAACUGCCCAUUGAUACUGCUUAGCUUGAAUCACGUCGAGGUGGAUGGAAUAAUACAUGUAGCGGUGAAAUGCUUAGAUAUGUAUUAGAACACCGAUUGCGAAGGCAGUUCACUAGGCGUGUAUUGACACUGAGGCACGAAAGCGUGGGGAUCAAACAGG
rnacentral:rRNA from 1 species